GAGUUGCUCUCAAAAACUUCCUUCCACCAGAAAAAGCACGAAAGCCUCAGCCAAUGAGAGAAGGCGAUAGAAAAGGAUUCUAAGUCGGGCGUGGUGGAGGGCUCUGAUUGGCAAAACCAAAUCUUUGCUGAAUUCUUGAGCAGUUCUUUGAGAGCCAUAUUGGUGGCAUACUGUUUUGAAGCUGGCCGCUUUUAGGAUUUGUUUCCAUGGAUACAGUUUGCAAUAUCUACUAUCAGAAUCUGAGAAUGAAUCUACGCCGAUUCCACAGUGUUUUGCAGAUGUCAUCUUGUCUUGCAAGCUAUCGGCUCCGUUAAUGUGUUGGGGUAAUACAGCCCUUGGAUCAAAUGCUGAAACCCAUGGAAAGGACUCCGAAACUACACGUGAAGUCAAGAAGCUUGCUCACAAUAAUGUUACAAAAGCCAGUAAUGACAGUUGCCUCAUUCGCGCUGGCUUAUCGUUCAGGGCCUAUGUAGAUGAAUCAUUAAUUCAUUAGUCAAUCAAAAGAAUUGCAUGAAAGCAGCUAGUCUGCAGAGGAAGAGGAUCACCAAAAGAGCGCAUCUUAGAGAGGAGCAGGGUCACCAAAAGAGCGCAUCUGUAGAGGAAGAGGGCAUCUGCAGAGGAAAAGGAUCACCAAAAGAGCGCAUCUGUAAAGGAAGAGGGUCACCGGAAGAGGAAGAGGAUCACCAAAAGAGCGCAUCUGUAGAGGAAGCACAUCUGUAGAGGAAGCGCAUCUGUAGAGGAAGCGCAUCUGUAGAGGAAGCGCAUCUGUAGAGGAAGCGGAUCUGUAGAGGAAGAGGAUCUGUAGAGGAAGAGGAUCACCGGAAGAGAGUCACCGGAAGAGGAUCACCAGAAGAGCGCAUCUGUAGAGGAAGAGGGUCACCAAAAGAGGGCAUCUGUAGAGGAAGAGGAUCACCAAAAGAGCGCAUCUGUAGAGGAAGGUCACUGGAAGAGGAAGAGGAUCACCAACAGAGCGUAUCUGUAGAGAAAGAGGGUCACCGGAAGAGGAAGAGGAUCACCAUAAGAGCGCAUCUGUAGAGGAAGGUCACUAGAAGAGGAAGAGGAUCACCAACAGAGCGCAUCUGUAGAGGAAGAGGGUCACCGGAAGACAGUCACCGGAAGAGGAAAUCUGCAGAGGAAGAGGAUCACCAAAAGAGCGCAUCUGUAGAGGAAGAGGGUCACCGGAAGAGGAACACCAAAAGAGCGCAUCUGUAGAGGAAGAUGAUCACCGGAAGACCGUCACCGGAGGAGGAAAUCUGCAGAGGAAGAGGAUCACCAAAAAAGCGCAUCUGUAGAGAGAGAACAUCACCAAAAGAGCGCAUCUGUAGAGGAAGAGGAUCACCAAAGAGCGCAUCUGUAGAGGAAGAGGGUCACCGGAAGAGGAAAAGGAUCAACAGAAGUGCAACUGCAUGGGAAGAGGAUCAAUAGAACAAGCAUCUGUAAUCAAAUUAUUAUCUGCCGGUAAUUUAAGGCAAUUUUCUAAACUUUAAAACAACUUCAAAUAGUUAUCUAUUUUUAAUUUUUUUGUUUAACAAUACUGUGUAAACUCCCAACGACAGAACAGUCUGGAGUUUUAUGAACUUUAUUCUAAUAGAGAAGUAGCAUUUUGACUAGUUUCAGGAAAUGAGUCCAUUUUUACGUAUACAAAAUAUAAAUAUUGAAGUUAAACACC